rnacentral:rRNA from 1 species
AAUGAACGUUGGCGGCGUGGAUUAGGCAUGCAAGUCGAGCGAGAACCGUAGCAAUACGGGGACAGCGGCGAAAGGGACAGUAAUGUGUAGGUACCUACCCCCGGGUUCGGGAUAGCUGCGGGAAACUGCAGGUAAUACCGAAUAAUGUCUUCGGACCAAAGGUGUGAUUCCACCUGGGGAGGGGCCUGCAUCCUAUUAGCUUGUUGGUGGGGUAACGGCUUACCAAGGCGACGAUGGGUAGCGGGUGUGAGAGCAUGACCCGCGUCAUUGGGACUGAGACACUGCCCAGACACCUACGGGUGGCUGCAGUCGAGGAUCUUCGGCAAUGGGCGCAAGCCUGACCGAGCGACGCCGCGUGCGGGAUGAAGGCCUUCGGGUUGUAAACCGCUGUCGUAGAGGAGGAAAUGCAGGGGGGUUCUCCCCUUUGCUUGACCUAUUCUAGGAGGAAGUACGGGCUAAGUUCGUGCCAGCAGCCGCCGCAG